GGCACUGCCUGCCCAGUGACAAUCGUUAAACGGCCGCGGUAUCUUGACCGUGCAAAGGUAGCAUAAUCACUUGUUCUCUAAAUAAGGACUUGUAUGAAUGGCCACACGAAGGUUUUACUGUCUCUUACUCUUAAUCAGUGAAAUUGACCUCCCCGUGAAGAGGCGGGGAUAACACAAUAAGACGAGAAGACCCUAUGGAGCUUUAAUUAAUCAACUCAAAAAGCAUAAAACAAUACCACCAAGGGAUAACAAAGCCUUAUAUGAGUUGACAAUUUCGGUUGGGGUGACCUCGGAGUAUAAAAAACCCUCCGAGUGAUUAAAACUUAGGCCUACCAGCCAAAGUAUAGUAUCACUUAUUGAUCCAAAAUUUUGAUCAACGGAACAAGUUACCCUAGGGAUAACAGCGCAAUCCUAUUCUAGAGUCCAUAUCGACAAUAGGGUUUACGACCUCGAUGUUGGAUCAGGACAUCCUGAUGGUGCAGCAGCUAUCAAGGGUUCGUUUGUU
rnacentral:rRNA from 1 species